rnacentral:rRNA from 1 species
AGAGUUUGAUCCUGGCUCAGGACGAACGCUGGCGGCGUGCCUAAUACAUGCAAGUCGAACGCUUCUUUUUCCACCGGAGCUUGCUCCACCGGAAAAAGAGGAGUGGCGAACGGGUGAGUAACACGUGGGUAACCUGCCCAUCAGAAGGGGAUAACACUUGGAAACAGGUGCUAAUACCGUAUAACAAUCGAAACCGCAUGGUUUUGAUUUGAAAGGCGCUUUCGGGUGUCGCUGAUGGAUGGACCCGCGGUGCAUUAGCUAGUUGGUGAGGUAACGGCUCACCAAGGCGACGAUGCAUAGCCGACCUGAGAGGGUGAUCGGCCACAUUGGGACUGAGACACGGCCCAAACUCCUACGGGAGGCAGCAGUAGGGAAUCUUCGGCAAUGGACGAAAGUCUGACCGAGCAACGCCGCGUGAGUGAAGAAGGUUUUCGGAUCGUAAAACUCUGUUGUUAGAGAAGAACAAGGAUGAGAGUAACUGUUCAUCCCUUGACGGUAUCUAACCAGAAAGCCACGGCUAACUACGUGCCAGCAGCCGCGGUAAUACGUAGGUGGCAAGCGUUGUCCGGAUUUAUUGGGCGUAAAGCGAGCGCAGGCGGUUUCUUAAGUCUGAUGUGAAAGCCCCCGGCUCAACCGGGGAGGGUCAUUGGAAACUGGGAGACUUGAGUGCAGAAGAGGAGAGUGGAAUUCCAUGUGUAGCGGUGAAAUGCGUAGAUAUAUGGAGGAACACCAGUGGCGCAGGCGGCUCUCUGGUCUGUAACUGACGCUGAGGCUCGAAAGCGUGGGGAGCAAACAGGAUUAGAUACCCUGGUAGUCCACGCCGUAAACGAUGAGUGCUAAGUGUUGGAGGGUUUCCGCCCUUCAGUGCUGCAGCUAACGCAUUAAGCACUCCGCCUGGGGAGUACGACCGCAAGGUUGAAACUCAAAGGAAUUGACGGGGGCCCGCACAAGCGGUGGAGCAUGUGGUUUAAUUCGAAGCAACGCGAAGAACCUUACCAGGUCUUGACAUCCUUUGACCACUCUAGAGAUAGAGCUUCCCCUUCGGGGGCAAAGUGACAGGUGGUGCAUGGUUGUCGUCAGCUCGUGUCGUGAGAUGUUGGGUUAAGUCCCGCAACGAGCGCAACCCUUAUUGUUAGUUGCCAUCAUUUAGUUGGGCACUCUAGCAAGACUGCCGGUGACAAACCGGAGGAAGGUGGGGAUGACGUCAAAUCAUCAUGCCCCUUAUGACCUGGGCUACACACGUGCUACAAUGGGAAGUACAACGAGUCGCAAAGUCGCGAGGCUAAGCUAAUCUCUUAAAGCUUCUCUCAGUUCGGAUUGUAGGCUGCAACUCGCCUACAUGAAGCCGGAAUCGCUAGUAAUCGCGGAUCAGCACGCCGCGGUGAAUACGUUCCCGGGCCUUGUACACACCGCCCGUCACACCACGAGAGUUUGUAACACCCGAAGUCGGUGAGGUAACCUUUUGGAGCCAGCCGCCUAAGGUGGGAUAGAUGAUUGGGGUGAAGUCGUAACAAGGUAGCCGUAUCGGAAGGUGCGGCUGGAUCACCU